rnacentral:lncRNA from 1 species
GUCAGAAGUGGGGUGCAAAGUAGAGCUUCUGACAACCCCCGGGAGUACUGAGUGAACAAGCAAGGUAUCUGCAGAACCCACUUGUGUCCACCGAUCUCUCAGAGUGCCUGGAGAUCAUGGUUCUGUUUCCAGAGGCCUCUCUCUGCCUGCCCAGAGACUGUACAUCUUCAGAGAUGAGCAAAACUCUGCACUCUGCAAAAUCAGCACCCUCUGUCUAAUCAAAAGUUAACUUGGCCCAGGUUUUAGUUUCUCUGUAAGUUUUGUUGGAAAGUAAUAUAAUAAAUCUUAUUACAAGAUACAGCUGAUUAUGUAUACAUUAUGUCUUUGGAGAAAUUUGCAUUUUAAGAGGAAGGUCAAGGAUGCCUUAAUUACAAACAUUGCAUUUUUGGUUAUUUAAAUAGUAUCUGGGAAAACGGUGAAGAUAUAUAGGAAGUUAAGAAAGAUACCUGUAUCUACCACGUGUGAAAGAUUAUCUCAGUAAAUAGAAUUGGCUACAUAUUCAUCUAUUAUAAUAAUACCAAAAAAGAAGAUAUAUAUCUUCAAAGCGUCACAAUUUUUGUAGUCAGCAAAAUGAAUGGCAAAGAUAAUGAGAGAAUAAAGAUACAAAAAUGAGUAUUUAAAAAUAGAAUUCCAAUGGGAAAACUGUUAAUUUUAAAAAUUAUAUGUAAAGAUGAGGUUGCUGUUAAGCAUUUUACACCAAUAGAGAUAUCAAUUGGAAUAUUUUAUGUGAAGA